CAAACACUGGAUUCCUGAGUGUUCUUGUGUCCCCAGGUACUACUGAAGUUUUUGCAGUCCAAAGAUCUCUGUCCCUUAAUUUCACUGAGCAAAUCUGAAGCUGGGGGAAACAAAGUCAAAGAAAGCAAAAAAGCAUUUUGGAAGACUGAGCAACUCACCUAA
rnacentral:lncRNA from 1 species